AUGGCGCAAGUGGCUUCCCGCAGCAGAAUUCUGGUACAACUCCGCUCACCACUCCUCGCUCAAGUGUUCGCCGUUCAAGGCGCUGUACGGCAAGGAACCGAACCUGGGCGGCCUGCCGCACCUGAGCUCCUCCCUGCAAGAUCAAGCGGCCUCGCCCGAACUGGACUGGACAUCGCACACCGAGAUGCUGCGCGCACAGCUUGCGCGCGCCCAAGCUCGUUUCAAGAAGCAAGCCGAUCGCCACCGCGCAGAACGCGCCUUCGACGUCGGCGAACAGGUUCUCCUCAAGCUGCAGCCGUACGCGCAAUCAACAGUCGCCAACCGCCCGUGCCGCAAGCUCUCUACAAGUUCUCCGGUCCGUUUGAGGUGACAGAGCGGGUUGGCACCCUGGCAUAUCGCCUACAGUUGCCGCCGGACAGUCGCAUCCAUCCGGUAUUUCAUGUCUCUCAGCUCAAGCCUUUCACCCCAGGUUACACUCCAGUCUUCGCUGAGCUGCCACGAGUCCCAGAGCUCACUGGCGGUGAAACAGAGCCCGUGGCGAUUCUGGAGCGAAGGAUGAUGAAGAAAGGUGAUGCACCAGUGGUGCAACUCCGUGUCCAAUGGACAAACAUGCCACCUACAGCCACCACCUGGGAAGAUUAUGAUGUUCUUCGCCAGCGCUAUCCAGCAGCCGGCGUCUGGGACGGGGCUCCAUCUCAAGAGGAGGACAAUGUCACGCCUACUGAUGCAUCAGUAGCGGACUGA
rnacentral:rRNA from 1 species